rfam:Gossypium hirsutum cultivar TM-1 chromosome 9, whole genome shotgun sequence
AACCCAUGGUGAAGACACCUUCUCAAUAAAUUCUUAUACCUCUCCCAUGUAUCAUAUAGAGUCUCUAAAUCCAUUUGUACAAAAGAAGAGAUAUCAUUCCUUAACUU